UACGUAGGGUCCGAGCGUUGUCCGGAAUUACUGGGCGUAAAGCGCGCGCAGGCGGCCCGCGAGGUGUCACGUGAAAGCCCCGGGCUCAACCCGGGAGGGUCGUGGCAAACCGGCGGGCUUGAGGCCGGUAGAGGUGGGUGGAACUCCUGGUGGAGUGGUGAAAUGCGUAGAGAUCAGGAAGAACACCCGUGGCGAAGGCGGCCCACUGGGCCGGUACUGACGCUGAGGCGCGAAGGCGUGGGGAGCGAACAGG
rnacentral:rRNA from 1 species